CACAGCUUGAACCAGUAAACGUCGAGAGAGACGGACUGUAAAUCCGUCGGCUUACGCCUACACAGGUUCGAAUCCUGUACCUGCCACCA
rnacentral:tRNA from 1 species